CCAGAUCGUUUACCGUGAAAAAAUUAGAGUGUUCAAAGCAGGCAGAUCCAAUUUUCUGCCACCGAAUACAUUAGCAUGGGAUAAUGGAAUAGGACCCUGUCCUCCUAUUUUCAGUUGGUUUUGGCAGCGCGAGGACUAGGGUAAUGAUUAAUAGGGAUAGUUGGGGGCAUUAAUAUUUAAUUGUCAGAGGUGAAAUUCUUGGAUUUAUGAAAGAUUAACUUCUGCGAAAGCAUCUGCCAAGGAUGUUUUCAUUAAUCAAGAACGAAAGUUAGGGGAUCGAAGACGAUCAGAUACCGUCGUAGUCUUAACCAUAAACGAUGCCGACCAGCGAUUAGGAGACGUUGAAUACAAAACACCACCAUCGGCGCGGUCGUCCUUGGCGUCUCGGUCCUUCACGGGGCCGGGGCGCGGGGGCGGCUUAGCCCGGUGGCACCGGUGAAUGACUCCCCUAGCAGCUUGUGAGAA
rnacentral:rRNA from 1 species